rnacentral:sRNA from 2 species
UCCAUAAGAGGGGUUACGGACUUCUUAUUUCCGCAGAAAGGGACGCAAGUGUAAUUUGAUGGCAAUAAUCCGGCUUCCUAAUCCUGUGGGUUCGCGGGGAUUCGAGGAAAUGUUAAAUGCUUUUGUUAUUCUGAAGGUUUAAUCAACCUGGGGAUUACGCUACCAUGUGCACGGAGUAUUUGCUGUUCCUCGUCAGAAAAAUUAUUGGGAACUCACACUGUUUCCUUGUAUGAGUUUGGCAUGGUGGAGUGGCACGAUAAAAAAAUGAACCAUUCUCCUUGGUAUGAACAUUGACAACCACGGUGGCACUUAGUUAAGGAGGUUCAGCUCAACACCUCAAAACUCAUACAUUUCCAGCCCUAACAGGUUUAAUCAAGGAGAAUUGCAUGACCGUCUUCUCCCAGAGGAGUUCGGCAUCAUCAUUUAUUUACUAAAUGAGUGUUUUUAACGCAAUGUUACCCAACUUGACUUUUGCAUUUAUCUCUCCG